AAUAUUGGUCAUUGGGCGAAAGCCUGAUCCAACCCUGCCGCGUUAGUGAAGAAUAUCUUCUGUAUGUAAAGCACGUGACGGUGGGAGGAAUGGCAGGAAGUUAAUACCUUGCUGUUUUGACGUUACCGACAGAAUAAGUACCGGCUACAUUCGUGCCAGCAGCCGAUGUAAUACUAAGGGUGCAAGCGUUAAUCGGAAUUACUGGGCGUAAAACGCGCGUAGGUGGUUUGUUAAGUUGGAAGUGAAAGCCCCGGGCUCAACCUGGGAACUGCUUUUAAAACUGGCAAGCUAGAGUAUGGCAGAGGGUGGUGGAAUUUCCUGUGUAGCGGUGAAAUGCGUAGAUAUAGGAAGGAACACCAGUGGCGAAGGCGACUACCUGGACUGAUACUGACACUGAGGUGCGAAAGCGUGGGGAGCAAAC
rnacentral:rRNA from 1 species